rnacentral:rRNA from 1 species
GUGGGGAAUUUUGGACAAUGGGCGAAAGCCUGAUCCAGCCAUGCCGCGUGCAGGAUGAAGGCCUUCGGGUUGUAAACUGCUUUUGUACGGAACGAAAAGACUCCUUCUAAUAAAGGGGGUCCAUGACGGUACCGUAAGAAUAAGCACCGGCUAACUACGUGCCAGCAGCCGCGGUAAUACGUAGGGUGCAAGCGUUAAUCGGAAUUACUGGGCGUAAAGCGUGCGCAGGCGGGUAUAUAAGACAGAUGUGAAAUCCCCGGGCUCAACCUGGGAACUGCAUUUGUGACUGUAUAGCUAGAGUACGGUAGAGGGGGAUGGAAUUCCGCGUGUAGCAGUGAAAUGCGUAGAUAUGCGGAGGAACACCGAUGGCGAAGGCAAUCCCCUGGACCUGUACUGACGCUCAUGCACGAAAGCGUGGGGAGCAAACAGGAUUAGAUACCCGAGUAGUCC